rnacentral:tRNA from 1 species
UGUUGCAAAUGGUAAACGCACUCGGCUGCUAACCCAAAGGUUGGUGGUUCAAAUCCACCCA